AUUGAACGCUGGUGGCAUGCUUAACACAUGCAAGUCGAACGGCAGCAUGGUCUAGCUUGCUAGACUGAUGGCGAGUGGCGAACGGGUGAGUAACGCGUAGGAAUAUACCUUAGAGAGGGGGAUAACAUGGGGAAACUCAUGCCAAUACCGCAUACGUUCUAUGGAAUAAAGCUGGGGACCUUAUGGCCUGGCGCUUUAAGAAUAGCCUGCGUCCGAUUAGCUAGUUGGUAGGGUAAAGGCCUACCAAGGCGACGAUCGGUAGCUGGUCUGAGAGGAUGAUCAGCCACACUGGGACUGAGACACGGCCCAGACUCCUGCGGGAGGCAGCAGUGGGGAAUAUUGGACAAUGGGGGGAACCCUGAUCCAGCAAUGCCGCGUGUGUGAAGAAGGCCUGAGGGUUGUAAAGCACUUUCAGUGGGGAGGAGGAUUGACGGGUUAAGAGCUAGUUAAUUGGACGUUACCCACAGAAGAAGCACCGGCUAACUCCGUGCCAGCCGCCGCCGUAA
rnacentral:rRNA from 1 species